rnacentral:snRNA from 1 species
GUAAGACAAUGCAAGACAUCUGUCACACCAUUGGUUACCAGGGUUAACUCAUCCGAUCUGGCUGGCUAAGUAGGUAUCUCCCUCCAUCCUCCUUGCUCCCAUGCUCUGUUUUAUCUAAGAGGACCACCUUCUAGGAAUACAGAAAGACCCAUCUUUAGUCAAAUUAUAUAAGCACCUGUAUUCCCCUGCUAGCAACUCCAAACAUCUUCUCAAAUUAGAACAAUUACACUGAAGGAAGAACAAAAACAAAACAAAUCUAUUGAAUUUAAU